AGUGCGAUCGGUGGAUGCCUUGGCACCAAGAGCCGAUGAAGGACGUUGUAACCUGCGAUAAGCCCUGGGGAGUUGGUAAACGAGCUGUGAUCCGGGGGUGUCCGAAUGGGGAAACCUGGAAUGUCCGGAGUAGUGUCCGGUGACCCUGCCCUGAAUGUAUAGGGGUGUGGGAGGUAACGCGGGGAAGUGAAACAUCUUAGUACCCGUAGGAAGAGAAAACAACCGUGAUUCCGUGAGUAGUGGCGAGCGAAAGUGGAUGAGGCUAAACCGUGUGUGUGUUCAAGCCGGCAGGUGUUGCAUGUGCGGGGUUGUGGGGGCCUUUUGGUUCUGCUGCCGCAGGAUUGGCCAGUGAUAAAUGUUGCGUGAAGGUGAAGCGUCUGGGAAGGCGUACCGGAGUGGGUGAGAGUCCCGUAACUGUAAGCGUGGCACUGGUGAGGGUUGCCCCAAGUAGCGUGGAACUCGUGGAAUUUCGCGUGAAUCUGGCGGGACCACCCGUCAAGCCUAAAUACUCCUUGGUGACCGAUAGUGGAUUAGUACCGUGAGGGAAUGGUGAAAAGUACCCCGGGAGGGGAGUGAAAUAGUACCUGAAACCGGUCGCAUACAAGCCGUCAGAGCCUUGUGGGGUGAUGGCGUGCCUUUUGAAGAAUGAGCCUGCGAGUUAGUGAUGCGUGGCGAGGUUAACCUGUGUGGGGGAGUCGUAGCGAAAGCGAGUCUGAUAAGGGCGUGAGUCGCGUGUUCUAGACCCGAAGCGGUGUGAUCUAUCCAUGGCCAGGAUGAAGCGUCGGUAAGACGUCGUGGAGGUCCGAACCCACUUCAGUUGAAAAUGGAGGGGAUGAGCUGUGGAUAGGGGUGAAAGGCCAAUCAAACACCGUGAUAGCUGGUUCUCCCCGAAAUGCAUUUAGGUGCAGCGUUGCGUGGUUCUUGUCGGAGGUAGAGCACUGGAUGGUCUAGGGGGCCUAUCAGCUUACCGAAAUCAGCCAAACUCCGAAUGCCGGCAAGUGGAGCGUGGCAGUGAGACGGCGGGGGAUAAGCUUCGUCGUCGAGAGGGAAACAGCCCAGAUCAUCAGCUAAGGCCCCUAAGUGGUAGCUCAGUGGAAAAGGAUGUGGAGUUGCGCAGACAGCCAGGAGGUUGGCUUGGAAGCAGCCAUCCUUGAAAGAGUGCGUAAUAGCUCACUGGUCAAGUGAUUCCGCGCCGACAAUGUAGCGGGGCUUAAGUUAUCCGCCGAAGCUGUGGCAAACCCGUUUUGCGGGUUUGGGUAGGGGAGCGUCCUGUGUGAGGUGAAGCUGCCGGGUGACCGUGUGGUGGAUUGUGCGGGAGUGAGAAUGCAGGCAUGAGUAGCGAAUGACGGGUGAAAAACCCGUCCGCCGAUUAUCCAAGGGUUCCAGGGUCAAGUUAAUCUGCCCUGGGUGAGUCGGGGCCUAAGGCGAGGCCGACAGGCGUAGUCGAUGGAUAACCAGUUGAUAUUCUGGUACCGGCUUGUCACCGUCCGUGUCGAGGUGUGUGAUGCUAAGCGUGCGAGCCUGCCAUUGUGAUGUCUUUGAUGUUGUGGUGGUGUGGUGAGUGUGUGAACCGAUCAUGUAGUAGGCAAGCUGCGGAGGGACGCAGGGAGGUAGCUCAUCCCCGGCGAUGGUUGUCCGGGGCUAAAUGUGUGGACCGUCUGGUAGGUAAAUCCGCUGGGCAUAUGGUUGAGGCAUGAUGGCGAGCCCACGUGUGUGGGUGAGUGAGUGAUCCUGUACUGUCGAGAAAAUCUUCGUGAGCGAGGUGGCUGGUCCGCCCGUACCCUAAACCGACACUGGUGGAUAGGUAGAGUAUACCGAGGCGAUCGAGAUCAUCAUGGUGAAGGAACUCGGCAAAAUGCCCCCGUAACUUCGGGAUAAGGGGGACCUGAACUGUCAAGGCCUGUACGGCUGGUAGCAGUGAGGGGCGCAGAGACCAGGGGGAAACGACUGUUUACCAAAAACACAGGUCCGUGCGAAGUCGUAAGACGAUGUAUACGGACUGACUCCUGCCCGGUGCUGGAAGGUUAAGGGGAACUGUUAGCGUUGGCGAAGCGGUGAACUUAAGCCCCAGUAAACGGCGGUGGUAACUAUAACCAUCCUAAGGUAGCGAAAUUCCUUGUCGGGUAAGUUCCGACCUGCACGAAUGGAGUAACGAUUUCCCUACUGUCUCCACCAUGAACUCGGUGAAAUUGCAGUACGAGUAAAGAUGCUCGUUACGCGCAGCAGGACGGAAAGACCCCGGGACCUUUACUAUAGUUUGGUAUUGGUGAUUGGGACGACUUGUGUAGGAUAGGUGGGAGACUGUGAAGUGGCCACGCUAGUGGUUGUGGAGUCAUUGUUGAAAUACCACUCUGGUCGUUCUGGUUAUCUAACUUUGGGCCGUGAUCCGGUUCAGGGACAGUGCCUGAUGGGUAGUUUGACUGGGGCGGUCGCCUCCUAAAAGGUAACGGAGGCGCCCAAAGGUUCCC
rnacentral:rRNA from 1 species